rnacentral:rRNA from 1 species
GGAAUCUUGCGCAAUGGGCGAAAGCCUGACGCAGCAACGCCGCGUGCGGGAAGAAGGCUUUCGGGCUGUAAACCGCUUUCAGCAGGAACGAAAAUGACGGUACCUGCAGAAGAAGGAGCGGCCAACUAUGUGCCAGCAGCCGCGGUGAUACAUAGGCUUCAAGCGUUGUCCGGAUUUAUUGGGCGUAAAGAGUUCGUAGGCGGUCAAGUAAGUCGGGUGUGAAAAUUCUGGGCUUAACCCAGAGACGCCACCCGAUACUGCUUAACUUGAGUUCGAUAGGGGAGUGGGGAAUUCCUAGUGUAGCGGUGAAAUGCGCAGAUAUUAGGAGGAACACCGGUGGCGAAGGCGCCACUCUGGAUCGAUACUGACGCUGAGGAACGAAAGCAUGGGUAGCAAACAGGAUUAGAUACCCUGGUAGUCCAUGCCGUAAACGGUGGGCACUAGGUGUGGGAUUCUAUUAACGAAUUCCGCGCCGUCGCUAACGCAUUAAGUGCCCCGCCUGGGGAGUACGGUCGCAAGACUAAAACUCAAAGGAAUUGACGG